rnacentral:rRNA from 1 species
AUCAGCGUGCGUUCAGGGGUUCCGAUGGUGACGUUCGCCAAGGAGUAGGUGGAGGUGGCGGACGACGAGAAGGUGGUGUCGUACAGCGUGGUGGACGGCGAGCUGGUGAGCUUCUACAAGAACUUCAGGGUGACGGUGCAGGUGACCGACAAGGGCGCCGAUGGCGCCGGCACGGUGGUGAACUGGACCAUGGAGUUCGACAAGGCCAGCAACGAGGUGCCGCCGGACGUCACCAAGGAGACCGCAGCAAAGACCUUCCACAACCUCGACGACUACCUCCUCAAGAACUACUAUUCCCUUCGUCUUAUAAUAUAA